GAUGAACGCUAGCGGCAGGCCUAAUACAUGCAAGUCGAACGGUAAGCGCCCUCGGGGCGCGAGAGUGGCGCACGGGUGCGUAACACGUAGGUAACCUGCCCCGGANCGGGGGAUAACAUUUGGAAACAGAUGCUAAUACCGCAUAACAACAAAAGCCACAUGGCUUUGUUUGAAAGAUGGCUUUGGCUAUCACUCUGGGAUGGACCUGCGGUGCAUUAGCUAGUUGGCGGGGUAACGGCCCACCAAGGCGACGAUCAGUAGCCGGACUGAGAGGUUGAACGGCCACAUUGGGACUGAGAUACGGCCCAGACUCCUACGGGAGGCAGCAGUGGGGAAUAUUGGGCAAUGGGCGAAAGCCUGACCCAGCAAUGCCGCGUGAAGGAAGAAGGCCUUCGGGUUGUAAACUUCUUUUAUCAGGGACGAAGGAUGUGACGGUACCUGAUGAAUAAGCUCCGGCUAACUACGUG
rnacentral:rRNA from 1 species